UUCCUUCGCACAGACAGCAUUCAUCCAGGCUCACUCCUCAUGUGCCCACGCUCACUGUGAUAAUGUAAGCCUCGACCAGCUGAAUUUUCAUCAUGUGAAGUGUGGGCAGCUCAUGGCCAAACUGUCUCAGCCCAUGAUUCCAUGCAAGGCCAAAGAAGAAUGGUACCUGAUGACAGGCUGCUGGUGCUUGGUCACACGGAAAUGCAGUAUUCUGAUGGAAGACCGUAUACUUCUCAUUUGAGAAACAACUGCCAGGGAAAGAAAGCACCUCUGAUGCAGCUGCAGUUGUGUCAUGGCAGCAUUCUUCCCUGUCACUCUAGUGCUGGCAGCCCCCACACCACCUCAGAUCCUCCUCUGGAGCCAUCCUAACCCAGAUCCCUCCACUUCCUCAGUGAGCAGAAUCUGGCCAUUCCCAGUCCAAGACAACCUCUUGCAGACGGGCUCCCACUCUGCCAGGCCUCUGUUCUUGCAGGUGCAGAUCUGGCUUUUCACUGAAGAUCCCCCACCUUCCAAAAAGGGAAGCAAGAAGAAAAUAGAAUCUGCGAUGCUCUCAUUCUGGUCUCUCUCUCCCCGCAGUGGGCUGUGCUACUGUGCGCUGCACAGUCUGCCUGGCCGAGAGCAGCUGUGGCUGUCAUCUGCUAGCGUGGUGUCCAAAUUAAGACUGAUUGCAUUUCCAUCUACCCAGUUAUCUGCUGUCAGCCUCAAAUGUGGCGAGCAAUUGGCGAAGUUUUGGCCUGGAAUUAGCUGGUUUAACCUUGAAUAAAGUGAGUAAAUAU
rnacentral:lncRNA from 7 species